rnacentral:rRNA from 1 species
CCCUUAGAUGUUCUGGGCUGCACGCGCGCUACACUGACACACCCAGCGAGUCUCCUGCCCUGACAGGGUUGGGUAAUCAUUGGAGUGUGUGUCGUGAUGGGGAUAGAGUAUUGCAAUUAUUGCUCUCGAACGAGGAAUUCCUAGUAAGCACAAGUCAGCAGCUUGUGCUGAUUACGUCCCUGCCCUUUGUACACACCGCCCGUCGCUCCUACCGAGGGGGUGAUCCGGUGAAUGAUUCGGACUUUGGCGUUUCUAGCUGCUAGCAGCGCUGAAGAAAGUUUUGUGAACCUUAUCACUGGGAGGAAGGAGAAGUCGUAACA